GCCUGGGUGGCUCAGUGGUUGAGCGUCUGCCUUUGGUGCAGGUCAUGAUUCCGGGGUCCUGGGAUCGAGUCCCACAACAGGCU
rnacentral:tRNA from 1 species